rnacentral:rRNA from 1 species
UCCGGUAAGAGUGAACCAGCGGAGGGAUCAUUACCGAGUUUACAACCCCCAAACCCCUGUGAACAUACCACUUGUUGCCUCGGCGGAUCAGCCCGCUCCCGGUAAAACGGGACGGCCCGCCAGAGGACCCCUAAACUCUGUUUCUAUAUGUAACUUCUGAGUAAAACCAUAAAUAAAUCAAAACUUUCAACAACGGAUCUCUUGGUUCUGGCAUCGAUGGAGAACGCAGCAAAAUGCGAUAAGUAAUGUGAAUUGCAGAAUUCAGUGAAUCAUCGAAUCUUUGAACGCACAUUGCGCCCGCCAGUAUUCUGGCGGGCAUGCCUGUUCGAGCGUCAUUUCAACCCUCAAGCACAGCUUGGUGUUGGGACUCGCGUUAAUUCGCGUUCCUCAAAUUGAUUGGCGGUCACGUCGAGCUUCCAUAGCGUAGUAGUAAAACCCUCGUUACUGGUAAUCGUCGCGGCCACGCCGUUAAACCCCAACUUCUGAAUGUUGACCUCGGAUCAGGUAGGAAUACCCGCUGAACUUAAGCAUAUCAAUAAGCGAAGGAAA